GCCGCUCAGUUGGACAGAGCAUGGUGCUGAUAACGGCAAGGUUGCAGGUUCGAUCCCUGUAUGGGACA